AGGCCUCCUGUCGCCUGGCUCCGCCCCCGGAGGCUGCCGGCCUCCCGGCCCAGCCCAGACCUCCCCUGGCCCUGGCUGACUCGCCGCCCCCGACACUGCAGCGCCUGCCGGCCUCGGGGCCCCGCCCUCUGCCUUCGCUCGCGCCGCGCUCCUUCAGCCUCCCCAGGGCCUGUUUCACGGAUGGGGUCCCCUUGCCCGCGUGAAUAUCUUCCUCCUCAGCUCGGAAACACUCUAAGGUCUCAGCGACCGAUACUGGCCUUCCCUCAUCCGAAUACCCCUCGUGCCCCGAUGUACUUUUCCAUUCCCACUCCACAUGCUGGCAGCCUAGCUUCUAAGCUGAGGAGCUUGGCCUUCGCUCCAGGUGCUGGAAGGAUUUGAUUUCGCAGUUUAGAAAGAUCGCUCUGCUCCUGUGAGGAGGGCGUGUAGGGGCUGCAACCAGAGACACAGUCAGAAGCUCCGAGGCUACAGCGAUGGUCCAGGUGCCACAGGACACAGCCUAACAGAGGCCCAGGUUGGAGCCAUGGACCAUGGAGUCAUGAGAAUGGAAGGGAAGCUGACGCCAUGUGGGAUGGGGUAGAACUGUCCGCAAAUUCGUCCCGCCUCUGGAGUCUUCAGACCAGUCAAGACCGAAAUUGAACCAAGCCUCUCCUCUCUAUAGCUGUUAUUUGUUUGCAGCACGUGGUCAGGUGGCACCCUGCAGGAUUUAUCAGCUUUUUGCCAACAUUCUGGCCUAUGCAAUCAAUAUGUCCCUUCAGCGUUGCACUCGGAUGGAUUGGACCUACAGUUGUUCUAUAUGGAUAUUAUCUAAAUUAUUUAUUACAGUAUUAGCUGACUCCUAUCUUCUGGCCUUCAGAAUUUCUCCUUUGGAUCAAUUACUAGCCUGUCUUACAUUUUCUGCUUCAUUCCUUUAAAAUGUUUAGAGAUGAUUUGCUAACUUCUAAGUUUUCUUCAUUGCAGUCAAUGAUGCAGUUUAAACUGUCAAAAAAUGUUUUUUUCUCAAGCAGGGUAGUAGUGGUAAACCAUUCCCUUGCUCUUCAGACAGCAUGGUUUAGAUGAGGCACACCCAUCCCCAGCUCUAGGAAUGGAAACAGGACCCAAGUCUGGCUAAUCAGAGAUUGGCUUAGGGUUGGCCCCAUGAUCUGAGCCAGACCAAUGAGAGUUGGUAGAGGGACUUUUCUGGAACUAAAGAAAUGGAUCCUGGCGGGGCAUGGUGACUCAUGCCUGUAAUCCCAGCACUUUGGGAGGCCGAGGCAGGUGGAUCAUCUGAGGUCAGGAGUUCGAGACCAGCCUGACCAACAUGGUGAAACCCCGUCUCUACUAAAAAUACAAAAUUAGCCGGGCGUGGUGGUGCAUGCCUGUAAUCCCAGCUACUCAGGAGGCCGAGGCAGGAGAAUCGCUUGAACCCGGGAGGCGGCGGUUGCAGUGAGCCAAGAUGGCGCCAUUGCACUCUAGCCUGGGCGACAGAGUGACUCUGUCUCAAAGAAAAAAACCAAAUGGAUCGUUUUCUUUUGCAACUUCUGUUUUAGAAUCGGGAUAUAUAUGCAGGCUUGUUACGGAGGUAUAUUGCUUUUGCAACUUGUAGUUUAGAAUCGGGGUAUAUAUGCAGGCUUAUUACAGAGGUAUAUAGCUUUUGCAACUUCUAGUUUAGAAUCAGGGGUAUGAUGCAGGCUUGUUACAGAGGUAUAUUGCAUGGUGCUGAGGUUGGGAGUAUGAACGAAUCUGUCCUUCAGGUAAUGAGCAUAGUACCCAACAGGUAGUUUCAACCCUUACCCCCUUCCUCCUUCCCCGUCUUGUAUUCCCCAGUGUCUGUUGUUCCCAGACAUUGAUCUUUUUCCGCUAUGUUGCUAAGCUGGUAGAAAGGCUGGAGUUGCUGGCAACCAUCUUUGCAACAAUGCAGGGAGAGCUACUUUGGAAAUGAAGCAAGACAAAGAAGAAAAUAGAUAAAAGGAAACAAAUAAAUGUUUGACUUUGCUUGUACAGCUGGAAACCAGCAAUGCUGGAAAUAGGCACUAUAGGCAGUUUAAUGGGUUUGUCACUUGUAACCAAGUGACCCAUGGCAAGCUCACAGAUUUGUAUUGGCAGAAUUCCUCCUUUUAUUUAAAAUGGUACUUUUGGCCAGGCAAGAUGGCUCACACCUGUAAUCCAAGCACUUUGGGAGGUCGAGGCGUGCGGAUCACCCGAGGUCAGAAGUUCGAGAACAGCCUGGCCAACGUGGCAAAACCCCGUCUCUACUAAAAAUACAAACCAUUAGCUGGCUGCGGUGGCCUACCAGUUUUUUGUCUCCAAAAAAAAAAAAAAAGGUACUUUUGCUUAUCUCUAACCUUCCUCUUCCCCAUAAUUUAACAAUUGUCCAUACUAUCUGUUACUCUGAGUUGCUCUCUGCCCCAUUCUCCCCCUCUUAUCCUCAGUUUCCCCUAGGCUGUCAGAGCCAUCUGAAAUGAAAACAUUUAGGUCGGGCAUAGUGGUUCAUGCCUGUAAUCCCAGCACUUUGGGAGGCUGAGGCGGGUGGAUCACCUGAGGUCAGGAGUUCGAGACCACCCUGGCCAACAUGGUGAAACCCCAUCUCUACUGAAAAUACAAAAACUAGCCAGGCAUGGUGGCGCAUGCCUCUACUCGCAGCUACUCGGGAGGCUGAGGCAGGAGAAUCACUUGAACCUGGGAGGCGGGGGUUGCAGUGAGCCGAGAUUGAGCCACUGCACUCCAGCCUGGGCAACAGAGUGAGACUUUGUCUCAAAUAAAUAAAAUGAAAUAAAAUGAAAACAUUUACCACUUGAAAUCCUUCAGAUUCCCCAUCACCUACCUACAGGCAAAACUCCCAAAUUCUUUUGUACGAUUUAACCACUAUCUGCCUGUCCAACUGAAAUCUACCCUCUACUGAUAUUAUACUUGCACCUCCCUGCAUAAGCUAUGCUACAAGUUUGGUUAUGCAGUUGCCCAUCUUUUAAGGUUCAAGCCUUGUCUUCUCCAAAGAGCCACCUCUGACUGCCUCACAGUAAGCUUAGAGCCCGCAACUUACCUGUAACUUUUGUUGCACUUGUGGCCUUUUACAACUAUGAAUUUAUGUAUGUGUCUGUUCUCACUGGUUUAUAAGCUCCAUGAGGAUAGAGCCUUCCUUGAGUCAUCUGUUAACAGCCCAAUAUGGGACAAAAAGUGCAUGCACUGUGAUUACUGAACAGAACUGAGAGAGGCUAAGCAAUUUGCGCUCCACAGGUUUAAGUCUGAACUCUUCUAGAAAAGGAUUUGCGGGAUGAUCUGACCAAUCUUGGGCUUCCAAAUUAGUUCCAACAGUUCCAGUAUUUCUUUUCUGACAGAAGCAAAUAAGUUUUACUUUAUGAUUAAAACAAGUGAAAUGCAUUUAGUACCAGGAAA